UUCUGUGGUUGAUUGCCAUUACAUCGUGGGAAGAAAACAGUGGCCACCUUCUUUGUGGUUUACGGUGUACAAAGGUGUACAAAUUCCACAGAAAUCAAAACACAGAACAGCAACUGUGAAUAUUCUAAUUUACAGCCCGUUGGUUCAGACACAAUUAGGAGGGUGGUUUACCACAAAUUUCAGUGGUCCUAUGAAAUCAUUUCAUCUAUAUCUAGACCGAGCCAGCAUGGCUUUUCAUAAUAUCACCAUCUGCGUAACGAUUCAAUGUUCAAAAAUCCCCUUCAAAAUCAUGAUUCACUUAAACUUAAUUUAGUAUUUUGUUGACUAAACAUAUAGGCCUAUAGAGAACUAGUCAUCAUUAAUCAUUUUCUGGAAGACAUACGCAAUGAUGCAAUCACAAAGUGACUUAUAAGUUUGUUUUAAUUAAUGUCAUUUACACAACACAAAGGUUCAUAAAAUAUGUUGUUAGAGGAUGGUACUGAUCAUCUUUUGAUGAGUCAGCUGACUCUGCAUUCUCUUUGGAGGAAAAGGGGUGGGGGGAUUUGGAAUAUAAAUCAAUGUAGAAAAACCCCAUACUAAAGUCUAAUAUCAAUUCUAUGUCAAAGAAAUUAGAUAGGGUUUGGCCACUUAAUGUCACAGUUGAACUAUUUUUCAUAAUUUUAACCCCUUCAACAAAUAUCUACUAUCUGUUGUCAAGGCAACCGACAGCGGUCUAUGAAAAUUAUUAUUGAAACUGCUAAAUUCAGCUUGUUCCAUCCAUAUUUUUUUGUCCUUGUGGUAUAUUGAAAUUUAAAAUUGAAAACAAACACUCACUCUCCAUAAAUCUUGUUUUUCGAAAGCAUGUCCUCCUUAGUAUGCUAUUUAUAAACUUCCGUGGUAAAGAGUGCACACUGGUCUUUGUCUCUCUCUCUCUCUCUCUCUCUCUCUCUAUAUAUAUAUAUAUAUAUAUAUAUAUUACAUGUUUUACAAUUUGGCAUUAAAAGCCAAAAAGUGUAAUAUUUUGCUGCAUUUCAUUGAUGAAUUUAAAAACAAUUUGGCAAAUACCUAAAGCAUAAUCAACUGCCUGCAAAAAAUGUUCAUAAUCUAUUUAAGACUUAAUUUUCAUGUUGUGUUAAUUAUAAAAUUAUGAGUAAUUUUAUGUGAAGGUUAAUAACCUGUAAUAUUUAUGUCAAAACUUAGACAGGUUUGAUCGCUGGUGCCAGGUAGCUCAGUCGGUAUAGAGCGCGCAGCUGACUAGAGAAUUCAGGGGCUCUGGGUUAGAAUUCUGGAAUACAAGAAAAUUAAUCAGCAUGUAGUGAUGGUUAAAGACUUCUGUGAGCGAGAUUUCCACGGGUUAAAAAUCUACAGAGAAACAGGGAGGACUGCAUGUAGUAUCAUUGGUUAGGUAACAAUGGAAUGGACUGGGAAUCUUGGAUAUAUUGCAAAGAGCAACUGCACGAGUCCUGAGACAACAGCAGACGAAUUCUAAUCAGAAGAGUUAAAGUGAGCUGGGAAAAAGAGAGAAAAUAUUUUCAAUUAUCUAAUAUGACACAGUGUGUUGAACAAUCAAACAUGAAAUGUAUACUUACCAUUGACUGAGGUAGUGUGAAGGGGGAGUAGGAACGAGCUCUGAUCCAAAGCAGACAGAUGGAAAAUUCAAUAUUCCAUUAUCCUUAAAGAGAUACAAAAACAUGAAAAUAGGCUUAAACAAAUUGAGUUUAGAUUUAAUAACACCAGGCAUAGUGAUCUACACAUGUACAAAUUCAGAUAAGGUAAAGUUUUGUUGCAUCUGUAAUUCCAGUGUUCAAACACAUUCCUCAAAUAUUACAUUACAUUAUGAAUUCAAUGUCUUUGAAACAUGAGAUAGUAACUUCUUGCAUUUAAGAAUGAUAUACCUAGAAUGUAGAAUGUUACCCCCCCCCCCCCUCCCCCCAAUCAAUGACCUCCCUAAUAUAAAACCUUAAUUGUUACUCAGGUUAAAUCGUACACCGAGUGUUCUCAAAGAUUGUGCAUCAUACUGUUGUAUUAAUUGUUCUUCAAGUUUCUCCCUAAAUCUAGCAUUGACAUCUUCUCUAUACAGACAGCUCAACUAUCGAGUAUAAAUAGCUCUGUUACUGUCCCAGAAAAUCCUUCUAAUGAUAACUGCUUUCUUCAUAUUCAACAGAUGAAUAGUUUAUAAACAUCUCCAACAGUUGCAGUUUCCCCAUGUGAAACAUUUCCCAAUAUGAAAUAUAGCCAUGAUGUGCACAGCUUGAACUUGUCCUAAAUGAAGAUGCUUCAUUAAACAUAUUGAUCUCAGACGCAAUACCUUUUGUCAUUCAAGAAACGAUUUUUAAAAACUCCAAGUCUUGACAGUAGUUUCAGAAAGAAAUUCAUAAUUCGUUUUCAUGUACGUAAAUAGUAUUAUUAUCAUGACGGAAUUUGUCGAGAUCACCUUUAAGUGGGCGACACAUAGGAAUAUUUCAUUAACACAA